GAUGAACGCUGGCGGCGUGCCUAAUACAUGCCAGUCGAGCGAACGGACGAGAAGCUUGCUUCUCUGAUGUUAGCGGCGGACGGGUGAGUAACACGUGGACAACCUACCUAUAAGACUGGGAUAACUUCGGGAAACCGGAGCUAAUACCGGAUGAUAUUUUGAACCGCAUGGUUCAAAAGUGAAAGACGGUCUUGCGGUCACUUAUAGAUGGAUCCGCGCUGCAUUAGCUAGUUGGUAAGGUAACGGCUUACCAAGGCAACGAUGCAUAGCCGACCUGAGAGGGUGAUCGGCCACACUGGAACUGAGACACGGUCCAGACUCCUACGGGAGGCAGCAGUAGGGAAUCUUCCGCAAUGGGCGAAAGCCUGACGGAGCAACGCCGCGUGAGUGAUGAAGGUCUUCGGAUCGUAAAACUCUGUUAUUAGGGAAGAAAAUAUGUGGAAGUAACUGUGCACACCUUGACGGUACCUAAUCAGAAAGCCACGGCUAACUACGUG
rnacentral:rRNA from 1 species